rnacentral:rRNA from 1 species
CUCACCUCCCUGGGCACCUCUGCGUGGGCUUCGAGCGUUCGUUCGCUCGGGUCCGCGUCCUUUUACACAACGAAACCCCUUUGCACGUAUCGGAACGUCUGGUUUGCUCUCGAGGCAACAAAAAAAAUAAAUAAACUUGUACAACUUUCAACAACGGAUCUCUUGGCUCUCGCAUCGAUGAAGAACGCAGCGAAAUGCGAUAAGUAAUGUGAAUUGCAGAAUUCAGUGAAUCAUCGAAUCUUUGAACGCACCUUGCGCCUCUUGGUAUUCCGAGGGGCACGCCUGUUUGAGUAUCGUGAAAUCAUCAACCCGACUCCUUUUGUGAAAAGGGGAGGAGGGCUUGGACUUUGGAGGUCUUGCCGGUCCGUUCGUCGUGAUCGGCUCCUCUCGAAUGCAUUAGUGGGGCUUCAUCCACUCUCUCUGCCUCUCGGUGUGAUAAUUCAUCUGCGCCGACGUGUGAGGGAGGAAAAGCAUCGCUUCUAACCCUGGUCCGUCUCGCACGAGACGACCUUUUCGAACCCUU